rnacentral:rRNA from 1 species
CAGCCAUGCCGCGUGUAUGAAGAAGGCCUUCGGGUUGUAAAGUACUUUCAGCGAGGAGGAAAGGUAGGUAGUUAAUAACUGCUUACUGUGACGUUACUCGCAGAAGAAGCACCGGCUAACUUCGUGCCAGCAGCCGCGGUAAUACGAGGGGUGCAAGCGUUAAUCGGAAUUACUGGGCGUAAAGCGUACGCAGGCGGUUUGUUAAGCAAGAUGUGAAAGCCCCGGGCUCAACCUGGGAACUGCAUUUUGAACUGGCAAACUAGAGUCUUGUAGAGGGGGGUAGAAUUUCAGGUGUAGCGGUGAAAUGCGUAGAGAUCUGAAGGAAUACCGGUGGCGAAGGCGGCCCCCUGGACAAAGACUGACGCUCAGGUACGAAAGCGUGGGGAGCAAACAGGAUUAGAUACCCUGGUAGUCCACGCCGUAAACGAUGUCUACUCGGAAUUUGGUGUCUUGAACACUGGGUUCUCAAGCUAACGCAUUAAGUAGACCGCCUGGGGAGUACGGCCGCAAGGUUAAAACUCAAAUGAAUUGACGGGGGCCCGCACAAGCGGUGGAGCAUGUGGUUUAAUUCGAUGCAACGCGAAGAACCUUACCUACUCUUGACAUCCUCAGAACUUUCCAGAGAUGGAUUGGUGCCUUCGGGAACUGAGAGACAGGUGCUGCAUGGCUGUCGUCAGCUCGUGUUGUGAAAUGUUGGGUUAAGUCCCGCAACGAGCGCAACCCUUAUCCUUAUUUGCCAGCACGUAAUGGUGGGAACUUUAGGGAGACUGCCGGGUGAUAAACCGGGAGGAAGGUGGGGACGACGUCAAGUCAUCAUGGGCCCUUUACGAGUAGGGGCUACACACGGUGCUACAAUGGGUCGGGAACAAGAAGGGUUGCCGAAGCCCGCGAGGUGGAAGCUAAAUCUCCACAAAAGCCGGGUCGGAAGUCCCGGAAUUGGAAGUCUUGCAACUCCGACUCCCAUGAAAGUCCGGGAAUCCCCUAGUAAUCCGUAAUAUCAAAAAUUGCUAACGGGAAUAACCUUUCCCCGGGGCCUUUGGUAACACCCCCGGCCCCGGUCACAACCAUUGGGGAAUUGGGGCU